ACCCGCUGAACUUAAGCAUAUCAAUAAGCGGAGGAAAAGAAACUAACAAGGAUUCCCCUAGUAACUGCGAGUGAAGCGGGAAAAGCUCAAAUUUAAAAUCUGGCGGUUUCUGGCCGUCCGAGUUGUAAUCUAGAGAAGUGCUGCCCGUGCUGGACCGUGUACAAGUCUCCUGGGAUGGAGCGUCAUAGAGGGUGAGAAUCCCGUCUCUGACACGGACUACCAGUGCUUUGUGGUACGCUCUCAAAGAGUCGAGUUGUUUGGGAAUGCAGCUCAAAAUGGGUGGUAAAUUCCAUCUAAAGCUAAAUAUUGGCGAGAGACCGAUAGCGAACAAGUACCGUGAGGGAAAGAUGAAAAGAACUUUGGAAAGAGAGUUAAACAGUACGUGAAAUUGCUGAAAGGGAAACGCUUGAAGUCAGUCGCAUUAGCCAGGGAUCAGCCUCGUUUCUCUGCGUGGUGUACUUUCUGGUUGAUGGGUCAGCAUCAAUUUUGACCGCUGGAAAAAGAUGGGGGGAAUGUGGCAGCUCCGGCUGUGUUAUAGCCCCUUGUCAUAUACAGUGGUUGGGAUUGAGGAACUCAGCACGCCGCAAGGCCGGGUUUCGACCACGUUCGUGCUUAGGAUGCUGGCAUAAUGGCUUUAAGCGACCCGUCUUGAAACACGG
rnacentral:rRNA from 1 species